rnacentral:rRNA from 1 species
CCUACGGGGGGCAGCAGUAGGGAAUAUUGCUCAAUGGGGGAAACCCUGAAGCAGCAACGCCGCGUGGAGGAUGAAGGUUUUCGGAUUGUAAACUCCUUUUGUUAGAGAAGAUAAUUACGGUAUCUAACGAAUAACCAACGGCUAACUCCGUGCCAGCAGCCGCGGUAAUACGGAGGGUGCAAGCGUUAGUCGGAAUCAAUGGGCGUAACGAGCGCGUAGGCGGAUAGCAAUUCAGAUGUGAAAUCCUAUGGCUUAACCAUGGAACUGCAUUUGAAACUGUUAUUCUAGAGUAUGGGAGAGGUAGGUGGAAUUCUUGGUGUAGCGGUGAAAUGCGUAGAGAUCAAGAAGAACACCCAUUGCGAAGGCGACCUGCUAGAACAUAACUGACGCUGAUGCGCGAAAGCGUGGGGAGCAAACAGGAUUAGAUACCCGAGUAGUC